rnacentral:rRNA from 1 species
GACAGAGGGUGCAAACGUUGUUCGGAAUUACUGGGCGUAAAGCGCGCGCAGGCGGUCUUCCAAGUCAGUGGUGAAAGCCCGGAGCUCAACUCCGGAACUGCCAUUGAAACUGUUAGACUUGAGGACGAGAGAGGUGAGUGGAAUUCCCAGUGUAGAGGUGAAAUGCGCAGAUAUCGGGAAGAACACCCGUGGCGAAGGCGGCUCUCUGGGACGGUACUGACGCUGAGACGCGAAAGCGUGGGGAGCGAACAGG